AAUAAGUGCAGUCAUGAAAAUCCGUGUCCAACGCUUGACCGUCCGUUUUAUUUGAAAAAUUUAUGAAAAUUUUUUAAAAAAUUAGUCACACAUAAAGUACUAUUCAUGUUUUAUCAUCUAAUAACAAUAAAAGCAGUAAUCAUAAAAAUUCUUCAAAUAAAACGAACGGUCAAACAUUGGAGAUGAAUAGUGCAAAACUGCACUUACU
rnacentral:pre_miRNA from 1 species